CCUACGGGUGGCAGCAGUGGGGAAUAUUGCACAAUGGGGGAAACCCUGAUGCAGCGACGCCGCGUGAGUGAAUAAGUAAUUCGUUGUGUAAAGCUCUAUCAGCAGGGAAGAAAAUGACGGUACCUGAGUAAGAAGCCCCGGCUAACUACGUGCCAGCAGCCGCGGGAAUACGUAGGGGGGAAGCGUUAUCCGGAUUUACUGGGGGUAAAGGGAGCGUUGACGGGAGUGCAAGGCUGGAGGGAAAGGCUGGGGGUCAACCCCCGGACUGCUCUGGAAACUGUCCGGCUGGAGUUCAGGAGAGGUAAGCGGAAUGCCUGGUGUAGCGGUGAAAUGCGUAGAUAUCAGGAGGAACCCCAGUGGCGAAGGCGGCCUACUGGACUGUAACUGACGUUGAGGCUCGAAAGCGCGGGGAGCAAACAGGAUUAGAUACCCUAGUAGUC
rnacentral:rRNA from 1 species